rnacentral:rRNA from 1 species
AAAGGGUGCGUAGGUGGUUUCGUAUGUCGGAUGUGAAAGCCCGGGGCUCAACCCCGGAACUGCAUUCGAAACUGCGGGACUAGAGUACAGGAUGGGAGAGCGGAAUUCUUGGUGUAGCGGUGAAAUGCGUUGAGAUCAAGAAGAACACCGGCGGCGAAGGCGGCUCUCUGGAAUGUUACUGACACUCAUGCACGAAAGCUGGGGUAGCAAACAGGAUUAGAUACCCUGGUAGUCCCAGCUGUAAACUGUGUGCACUUGGUGUUGGCGGUAUUGACCCCGCCAGUGCCGGAGUUAACGCGUUAAGUGCACCGCCUGAGGAGUACGAUCGCAAGGUUAAAACUCAAAGAAAUUGACGGGGGCCCGCACAAGCGGAGGAGCAUGUGGCUUAAUUCGAUGCAACGCGAAGAACCUUACCUGGGUUUGACAUCGGAGAGGCUUGCCUCUAGCGCGUGAAAGCGCGUUAACCAGACAGGUGCUGCAUGGCUGUCGUCAGUUCGUGCCGUGAGGUGUUGGGUUAAGUCCCGCAACGAACGCAACCCUUAUGUUUAGUUGCCACCCCCGAGCAAUCGGGGCGCACUCUAGACAGACUGCCCGUUCAAGCGGGAGGAAGGUGGGGAUGACGUCAAGUCCGUAUGGCCCUUACACCCAGGGCUGCACACGUGCUACAAUGGUCGGUACAGAGGGAUGCUACACCGCGAGGUUACGCAAAUCCCUAAAAGCCGGUCCCAGUUCGGAUUGCAGUCUGUAACUCGACUGCAUGAAGUUG